AACGAACGCUGGCGGCAGGCUUAACACAUGCAAGUCGAGCGGGCCCUUCGGGGUCAGCGGCAGACGGGUGAGUAACACGUGGGAACGUACCUUUUGGUUCGGAACAACUCCGGGAAACUGGAGCUAAUACCGGAUAAGCCCUUAGGGGGAAAGAUUUAUCGCCAAAAGAUCGGCCCGCGUCUGAUUAGCUAGUUGGUGGGGUAACGGCCCACCAAGGCGACGAUCAGUAGCUGGUCUGAGAGGAUGAUCAGCCACACUGGGACUGAGACACGGCCCAGACUCCUACGGGAGGCAGCAGUGGGGAAUAUUGGACAAUGGGCGCAAGCCUGAUCCAGCCAUGCCGCGUGAGUGCUGAAGGCCUUAGGGUUGUAAAGCUCUUUUGUCCGGGAAGAUAAUGACUGUACCGGAAGAAUAAGCCCCGGCUAACUUCGUG
rnacentral:rRNA from 1 species